GACAGAGGUGCCGAGCGUUAGGCGGAAUCACUGGGCUUAAAGCGUGUGUAGGCGGACCGUUAAGUACCUUGUGAAAUCCCACGGCUCAACCGUGGAACGGCUGGGUAUACUGGCGGUCUUGAGCGGCCUAGGGGCAGAUGGAACAGACGGUGGAGCGGUGAAAUGCGUAGAUAUCGUAAGGAAGACCAGUGGCGAAGGCGGGUCUCUGGACAGUUCCUGACGCUGAGGCACGAAGGCCAGGGGAGCAAACGGG
rnacentral:rRNA from 1 species